CUGKAGACCUGCAGACCUGAAGACCAACAGACAGCCUGCAGCCAAAUGUGUUCCAGCGUGGUCCAGAUGUAGGCGGGGCCUUGGCGGCGGGUAGAGCUGACGUCUGACACCUCUGACAGCGCCGCCUCCAGGCGCGACGCUGCCACUGAGGGAGGGGUGAGGGAACCUGGGGGUGAUAGAGAAGAACAUCUUCCAGCUGAGGAACAAAUCUGAACAGGUUCUGCUGGGAUCAGAAGACUGGAGGACCAGACCUGUGGAUGCAUCCUGGAAGUCAGGCAGGUUCAGGUGGAUGGAGGGUUUCCUGACUGAUGGGCUGCUGUCUGACUUUUCUGCCACAGGAAUGUUUAAUAGUGACUGUGGAGACCCACAGAUCUGACCCCUAAGGCCUGAGCCAGACAUGAGGGAGACCAGAGCCAAAGGCACCAAGAGGGACCCCAAGCACAAAGCCCCCAGCGGUGCCACCGCAGGAACAACUGCACAACCCUUCAGUCCAGGGUGGAGAGCAGCAGACAGCCAAACCUCCACAGCAGCAGAGUCACUCAUCAGUCUGGACGAGGGCCGGACAUCCCCCUGAACAACUGCUGGACCCAGUGGGCCUGUCCGUUCCCCCCGAGACCCAUGGAGGGAGGGAGGGUCCGAUAUAUCUGCCCCAGGACAGAUGGCUGUAGCACCACCAGGCUCCAAGGAGCCCAAGUCAUGGACAGGCAUAGAUAGAGGUAGUUUACAGUUAGUUUAAUUAAUUUACAGUUAGUUUACAGUUAGUUUACAGUUAUUCUGGUUGGUUUACAGUUCACAGAUUUUGUGUAAGUUACGGUUAUAUUUUGGUUAAGAUAUGGCUAGUUCAUAGUUAGUUUAGUUAGUUUACAGUUAGUUUA